rnacentral:rRNA from 1 species
UGGGGAAUUUUGGACAAUGGGCGCAAGCCUGAUCCAGCCAUGCCGCGUGCGGGAAGAAGGCCUUCGGGUUGUAAACCGCUUUUGUCAGGGAAGAAACUUCUGAGUUAAUACCUCGGGAGGAUGACGGUACCUGAAGAAUAAGCACCGGCUAACUACGUGCCAGCAGCCGCGGUAAUACGUAGGGUGCAAGCGUUAAUCGGAAUACUGGGCGUAAAGCGUGCGCAGGCGGUUUUGUAAGACAGAGGUGAAAUCCCCGGGCUCAACCUGGGAACUGCCUUUGUGACUGCAAGGCUUGAGUGCGGCAGAGGGGGGAUGGAAUUCCGCGUGUAGCAGUGAAAUGCGUAGAUAUGCGGAGGAACACCGUGGCGAAGGCAAUCCCCUGGGCCUGNACUGACGCUCAUGC